ACUCCUGCGGGAGGCAGCAGUGGGGAAUUUUGGACAAUGGGCGAAAGCCUGAUCCAGCAAUGCCGCGUGAGUGAAGAAGGCCUUCGGGUUGUAAAGCUCUUUUGUCAGGGAAGAAACGGUGAAAGCUAAUAUCUUUUGCUAAUGACGGUACCUGAAGAAUAAGCACCGGCUAACUACGUGCCAGCAACCGCGGUAAUACGUAGGGUGCAAGCGUUAAUCGGAAUUACUGGGCGUAAAGCGUGCGCAGGCGGUUUUGUAAGUCUGAUGUGAAAUCCCCGGGCUCAACCUGGGAAUUGCAUUGGAGACUGCAAGGCUAGAAUCUGGCAGAGGGGGGUAGAAUUCCACGUGUAGCAGUGAAAUGCGUAGAUAUGUGGAGGAACACCGAUGGCGAAGGCAGCCCCCUGGGUCAAGAUUGACGCUCAUGCACGAAAGCGUGGGGAGCAAACAGGAUUAGAAACCCUAGUAGUCCCAUG
rnacentral:rRNA from 1 species